rnacentral:rRNA from 1 species
AUGUUGCUAUCCAAAUAUGCAAGUCAAGCGGCCGGUUCUAGCUCUAAUCGGCCAUCACAUUCAAAGCGUUCAAGAUUGCCUCCAGAGCAAGAGUUUCGACAAUAUGCAAGGCCAUAUGGGUCAUGGGCACCGACACCAUUGAUGUCACAACCCUCCUAUGCGCCAUAUUACAUGAGAGGCUUCAGUGGAGGAUGGGGGCAGCCCCCAAUGGCUCCUUAUGCUUUCCCUAUGGGGUGGGCAGCACCUAGAAGGCCUGCUCGCGAGAGGCUUUAUUGUCCCACACAAGGCCGUUUGAGCUAUGGUGCUAAUCGGCCAACAAAAAUUUCUCCAAGUAAGGCCAAUAAAAAAGUGUGGCGUGUUAAGUCAUCUAAUGCGGAAAUUUCAGAAUGCGACAAGCAAAAGGAGAUCGAAAAGCCAGCUGUUGGUAAUCUGGCUACUUCUAAUGGUGAUAUUGUUAUUGUUCAGCAGGGUUCCAUGGUUAGUGAUCAUGAGGCGAGCACAAGCAAGGCCAAACCAAGGGAUCCCAAAUAUACUCAACCUGAGUGGUGUCCUCCCGGUUUAACCAAGACCAUGAAAAGGAUAUUACAACGCAUGAGGAACCACGAGAAGGUAGAGCACAGAGAGGAGAGGCAAAGGGACGAAUUGUUAAGUGAAAUUCGGCCCAUGGCACUCACAAAACAAGUGUGGAGGCCUAAACAAAAAGAAAACGCAGAUACUACAUUAGCUACAGCAACACAUUCACCACCAAAAGAGGAUGAUGCAACCCCUAUUACAUCGUCCACACCACCUGAAACAUCCCCUUCAAUUGAGGAAAUUUUAAGCCCAAUAUACACAUUGGGAGAUGAAGAUGAAAUGGUGGAUUACAAAUCUACGCCGGUUCGGGAAGGUAUGGAUAUUAAUAUGGUGUAUUACUUACUUGCCGAGUUUCGUGCUAUAGGUGAAGAAGGGGAGGUAGCCCAACUGGAUUUUGGUCCUAAGAACGCUAUCUUCGAGAAGCCAAAAGAACCGGUGAAACACUUGAAGCCAUUGUACCUCAAAGGUCAUAUUAACGGAUCGCCAGUUGCUAGGAUGCUCGUUGAUGGUGGUGCUGUGGUAAAUCUUAUGCCCUAG